UUCCAUAUCAUUGAAUUGAAAGACCUCCAGAGCGGGGAGGCCCUCACUCAAGUCUCGGGAUGAUGAGCCCCCCCAAGAACUCACAUGAGACC
rnacentral:pre_miRNA from 14 species